GUGGGGAAUAUUGCACAAUGGGCGCAAGCCUGAUGCAGCAACGCCGCGUGAGGGACGACGGCCUUCGGGUUGUAAACCUCUUUUAGCAGGGAAGAAGCGAAAGUGACGGUACCUGCAGAAAAAGCACCGGCUAACUACGUGCCAGCAGCCGCGGUAAUACGUAGGGUGCAAGCGUUGUCCGGAAUUAUUGGGCGUAAAGAGCUCGUAGGCGGUUUGUCGCGUCUGCUGUGAAAACCCGAGGCUCAACCGCGGGCCUGCAGUGGGUACGGGCAGACUAGAGUGCGGUAGGGGAGAUUGGAAUUCCUGGUGUAGCGGUGGAAUGCGCAGAUAUCAGGAGGAACACCGAUGGCGAAGGCAGAUCUCUGGGCCGUAACUGACGCUGAGGAGCGAAAGCGUGGGGAGCGAACAGGAUUAGAAACCCGGGUAGUCC
rnacentral:rRNA from 1 species